rnacentral:lncRNA from 1 species
UUAUAAUAUGUCCAAACUUAAACCUACAGCUCUACAAGUGAAAGAGUGCAGAUAUGGCAUGGCUGUAGCUUGCAGCUGGGAUAGUGGAGGGGUUCGUAGUUUUACAGUGGGUCCUAUUCAGUGGUGUUAAGGAUAUGAAUCCCAGGUACUUGCAGUGUUCAUCACUGAUGAAAUUAAAUAUAAAGUGAUUGCUUCUUGAUGGAGACGCUUGAAAGCAUCCAACUUUUAGGAUGGUGCUGGAAUUUGACUUAAAAUGUAAAGGUUAAUUAUGAAGUUGCUAGAGUCUUCUACACAAUGGCAUAUAGAAGUAUGAAGAGAUGCAUUUCUUGGGGAAUCCCGUCUUUGAGAGUGUUGAAAUACUUCUUGCUUUUGUCCUUUGGAUGAUGUUUUUAACAUUCUGGAGAGUUUUCUGCUGGAAUGGACCUGAGACAAGUCUGAGGCGUGAGGCUGGAAGUCCACCCAGCUCUAGGCCUGCCGGUCAGCAUGGCUU